GGAGAGAUGUCAGAGCGGUUUAUUUUGCUCGCUUGGAAAGCGGGUGUACGGCAACGUACCAUGGGUUCAAAUCCCAUUCUCUCCACCA
rnacentral:tRNA from 1 species